rnacentral:misc_RNA from 1 species
GAUGAAGGACGUAGCGAAAUGCGAUACCUGGUGUGAAUUGCAGAAUCCCGCGAACCAUCGAGUCUUUGAACGCAAGUUGCGCCCGAGGCCACCCGGCCGAGGGCACGCCUGCCUGGGCGUCACGCCAAAACACGCUCCCACCCCCCCUCACCGGGGGAGCGGGACGCGGCGUCUGGCCCCCCGUGCCGCGAGGCGCGGUGGGCCGAAGAUCGGGCUGCCGGCGUACCGUGCCGGGCACAGCGCGUGGUGGAUCUCUACUCGGCGCAGUGCACCCGGCGCGUAGCCGGCGCAGCGGCCCCUAAGGACCCAACGAACGGAGCGCGAGCCGCUCCGACCGCCACCCCAGGUCAGGCGGGACUACCCGCUGAGUUUAAGCAUAUCAAUAAGCGGAGGA